rnacentral:piRNA from 1 species
ACUGAACUGUAAGAGAAUGGUGGAGUC